GUAAGUAUUUUUUUUGAGGUCCGGAAAUGCAAAACGGGGGGGGGGGUUUCGCCUCUGUAACCUGGGCCUGGCCGCAGAUCUGGUGGCUGAUGUCGCCCUGGCCCGGGCCGCGAGCGGACGCAGGGGGCGGCAGGGGACCCGGGACCGUGGGUCUCGGGCGCCCACUGAGCCGAUUCCGGCGUGGGGUCGAGGUGCAGGGAGCGCGGCGGGGAGCGAGGGCUGGACAUCACCCCGCCAGAGCGAGCGAGCGAGCGAGCGAGCGAAUAAAGUCCUGAGCCCACAGAGCGCCACAUUCACCCGGCACAGCACUGCACCCGGGAGGACGCUAGAGGGGUGACCGCGGGCCAGAAGAUGCUGCCUGGGGAGAAAGGAGUGCUGAGCGCCCAGCCGCCCUUCACGCAUGUCCUCCUGGCCCCACCGCAGCCCAGCAGUGACUGUCAUUCAGCACCUGCAUCCCAAUUUCUGGGUGCGAAAGCCCAGGUUUGGGAAGGUGGAAGCAUUUUGGGGAGGACAUAGAUUCACUGUUGUUGAGUGUGUUGUGGAGGAAGCUGCCUCAAGUUCCCUUUGAACUGUAAAUAAACCGAAGCCGUUCUGGUGGUGGAUUCACAGCAGUCCUCCGAGGGAAGGCUCCCCGUGCUGGACCAAGGCC
rnacentral:lncRNA from 1 species